rnacentral:lncRNA from 1 species
GUGACCUAUCAGAAGAAAACAAGCAUUGCAGUUUCGCAAGUCCACAGAUUCCCCUUGUUGCACAGUCUGAUUUUUUCUGAAGAAUAUUGUUUUAGAUGUCUCGUCUAAGCAGACCAUCAGGAGACAUCUAUGAGCCCGCUAAUAGAAGAUGAACUCACCUCAACCAGCGUCUGCGAAUCCAGACUGGGGCCUCCAGAAAGGUUUUCAGCCGUUUCUCUGAGAACCAGACCUCACCCAAGACCUUCUCCUUGCCAGCCGGGAUUGCUGUCACACAUUCCUGUUUCUGUUUAUGCCCGAAGACGUUCAGAAACAUCAAAUGCCGCUGCCUGCUUGCUUAACAAUGUUUUGUUCAGAGAACAUAUUACACUUCUUUUCCAUUGUCUAGGCAGGCUCCCAGUCCGUAACCAGGUGUAACACAAGGUGUUAGUCCUGGCCUACAGAGCCUUGUAGAGUUACAAAUCUGGCUGUUAGAAACGCCAUUUCUGCCUUGCAACUGAGUCGUCGGCGCUCACAGCCCCAGAUUUCGCUGUGGGCGCUGGAGCACUCAGGACGGCCCCGUCCCGAGGCACGCCGGGCACGAGCUGCCGGGGGCUUUGCUGGGAAACUCCCCCCCAGAAGUUUGCACUUCUAAUUUCUGGACUCAUUUCUGUUUGGUGUCAGCUUUUGACUCUGGGAGAUACUCAGAGGAAUCUGAAGUUUGUGAUGGCUUUAGAAGGCCCUAAGGAGUUUGAUUCAACUGUAAUUGCAUCUGAACUCUGAAUCUUGGUAAGCGCUUGAAUGGUCUGAUACAGGCUUAGUUUAUCAGGAAGGUUAUAAAUGAUGGUAGAAGUACGUUAACAUGAGACACAAAGCUUGUGCCGAAUGGGAGGAAGAGCGACGGUGCGUGCAGAGCUGGGUAGCAGCACACAAGUCAUGUUUCCAGUUCCUGGAUAUACCAGCAUUUAAACCAAAUCAGAAAGGAGGGAAUGGUCUGAGGAAGCAAAGGACGGAACAGAAGGAACUGUUUCCCUGCGUUUAAACCCCUGCGGGUUCCUUGGGAGAGACUGUGCCCUUUCUGCUAGACUCAUUAGUUAUUGUCCUUUUUAGCUGGAACUUUGGUUUUCCACGACUGUGGGAUUAACCCCUUGGCUAAUCCAAGGUCGUCUAAGAAUAACCCUCAUAUGCAAGUGGUGAUACCAGACAAGCAUUACUCUAGGAGGAAUCUUUUACCAAAAUGUUUGAUCAAGUCUAACCUAACCUUAUCAGGCCCUAGAGAACACUGUUGUAUGGUCAGCCUUUAAAUUAGUCGGUUCUCCUGACAUCGCUCAAGUUCUUGCUUAGAAAACCCUCAGCUUUAAAUAAAGUUCCCCUCUCCUAAGAAGUUCA